rnacentral:rRNA from 1 species
CUUGGUCAUUUAGAGGAAGUAAAAGUCGUAACAAGGUUCCCACGGAAGCCUUGCCAAAUUCAAGUCUGCCUUCGGCAGGCGACAUCCGCCUGUAGCUGGGAAUUUUCCCCUUUGGGGUUAACAAUCAGCUGCUGCAUUAUGCUCUAGUAAAGCUUUGCAGUUCACAGAUCAAACGCGGGUGGCCUUGUGCAUUCCCUUGUCGCCGACUAAGGGGAAUUUUACGGGGUUAAGAUAUGACCGUAGCCGCUCUGUGAAGGGCGAUAUACUAGUUCCGUAGGUGAACCUGCGGAAGGAUCAUUA